GCCAGUUCCAGAUUGCUAAGGGGCUGUACCUAACAUGGGUGCAGUUGUUCCAGCUCUAUGCAUCUCUGAUACACCAUAGCAGUGGCUGCCUCGUCUAGGACAUGACCCCACACCUAGCUCUGGCUGGAUCAGUCCAGCCAGGUCGCACACAGAGGAUGCAGUAACAGCAUUUUAGACAGCCAGGAUAAAAUUUAGAUUCUUCUUGAGCUGUCGAAAAUGGCAUCACUUUCUGAGUCAUUUAUUAUAAAUAGCAGCAUGAAGCAGUUUGUCUGGAUUUUAUGGAGGGAAUGGCCUGGAAGCUAAAUCAUAACCAAAAUUGUAAUAAAAAGAAGAUGAAAAAUGUACAAACAAACCAUAUUAAAAAUUGCUUAUUACAUUUCGGUAUCCUCAA